rnacentral:pre_miRNA from 1 species
UCUUAAUCUUCAUGCUUCUUUCGCAGCCCAUAUUGAAUUUUAGUUAUGGAAUGUAAAGAAGUGUGCAGAUUUUUG